UACGAAGUGGGCUAGCGUUGCUCGGAAUCACUGGGCGUAAAGCGCACGUAGGCGGCUUUCUAAGUCAGGGGUGAAAUCCUGGAGCUCAACUCCAGAACUGCCUUUGAUACUGGGAAGCUCGAGUCCGGAAGAGGUGAGUGGAACUCCGAGUGUAGAGGUGAAAUUCGUAGAUAUUCGGAAGAACACCAGUGGCGAAGGCGGCUCACUGGUCCGGUACUGACGCUGAGGUGCGAAAGCGUGGGGAGCAAACAGG
rnacentral:rRNA from 1 species